UUCCUACAGUAUCUCUCCUCCAGAAGACCCCCUCCUCUCCAGUGAGCUGUUAUGCUACAGGUUUCUACCCAGAGAGCGCUGUGAUGUUCUGGAGGAGGAGUGAAGAGGAAAUUCAUGAAGGUGUUCAACAUGGAGAGAUCCUCCCAAACCAUGAUGAAACAUUCCAGAUGGAGACUUUACUGGAUGUCCCAUUAAUUCCAUCUGAAGAUUGGGGGAAAUAUGACUGUGUCUUUCAGCUCUAUGGUGUCAGCAAUGCCAUCAUAACCCCUCUGAAUAAGACAAUAAUCAAGACCAAUCAGGCAAUAACAGAAGAGUCUUUUAACCCGGCUGCCCUUAUCGCUACAUCAUUGGUGUUUGUUGUUCUCAUAAUCAUAGCAGUCAUUGUAUACAUCACUAUAAUAAAGAAAAGACGUUUACAACACCAAGGACCGAUCUGAUGGUUUGUCCCCAAAAAUAUUGAUAUCAAAUGUUCUUAAGGCAAGACUGUAAGUGUAUCAAUUUUUCUCUGAGCUGUCGCUCUAAUCCCGUCAUGGUUUUGCUUGUUUAGGAUUUAUCUUUGAGUUUUUGUUGGUUUUAUUUCCAUUUUGUGUUAAUCUAGUUAUUUUUUAUUGUAUUUGUUUUCUUAGGUAUUUCUUGUUUGCCAUAUGUUGCCCUCCUGUGUCAGCUCCUUUC